rnacentral:rRNA from 1 species
GCCCUGGCUGGGCGGUCCGCCAAUGGUUGGUACUGCUUUGGCUGGGGUUCACUUUCUGGUGAGCCAAUAUGCCCUUUACUGGGUGUGUUGGGGACCCAGGACUUUUACCUUGAAAAAAUUAGAGUGUUCAAAGCAGGCGCAUGCUUGAAUACAUUAGCAUGGAAUAAUAGAAUAGGACUUGGGUUCUAUUUUGUUGGUUUCUAGAGUCGCCGUA